rnacentral:rRNA from 1 species
GACGAACGCUGGCGGCGUGCCUAAUACAUGCAAGUCGAGCGGACGUUUUGUUGGUGCUUGCACCGACUUAACGUUAGCGGCGGACGGGUGAGUAACACGUGGGCAACCUGCCUUGUAGUCUGGGAUAACUCCGGGAAACCGGGGCUAAUACCGGAUGAUACUUUCUGACUCAUGUCAGAAAGUUGAAAGAUGGUUUACGCUAUCGCUACAGGAUGGGGCCCGCGGCGCAUUAGCUAGUUGGUGAGGUAACGGCUCACCAAGGCGACGAUGCGUAGCCGACCUGAGAGGGUGAUCGGCCACACUGGGACUGAGACACGGCCCAGACUCCUACGGGAGGCAG